rnacentral:rRNA from 1 species
AUGGUAAUUGCGAGGGUGCACACUGAUAGAACCUUCAGCCGUGGUGCUUUCUAUGAUCAGAUGCGUAUAGCAUGGAGCUUGGCACAGGGUGCGACAUUUACUGUUGUUGGCGAGAAUCUAUUCACUAUCACGGUGAAUUGUCUGGGGGACUGGAAACGAGUUACAGAGGAGGGCCCUUGGCUCUUCCGUGAUCACGGUGUUCUAAUUGAAAGCUAUGAUGGUUUUACCAAUUUUGAUGAAGUCGUCCUUAAUAGGCUCUCAGUCUGGAUGCAAAUAGUUGAUCUCCCUCCGCUGUACAGGAAGGAUGCAAUCAUUAGAUCCCUGGCAAAGAAGGUAGGGAAGGUUACUAGCGUGAUGUUAAACCCUAGAUGGGGCAAUGGCAGAAUUGUUCGGGUACGAGUUCAUUUGGAUGUUGAUCAGCCUCUUAUGCGUUUUGUUUCCAUCACCAAAAACCAGAAGAAGGUUUACUACUCGGUUCUUUAUGAGAAAAUCCCAGUGUUUUGUAUGUAUGUGGAUGCAUGGGUCACACGCACUUAG